UACACGCUGUGACUAGCAUAUCAAUAAGCGGAGGAAAAGAAACUAACAAGGAUUCCCUCAGUAACGGCGAGUGAAGCGGGAAGAGCUCAAAUUUGAAAUCUUAAAGGGUUUCCCUUUACGAAUUGUAGUUUAAAGAAGUGUUUUCUGUUGAGGUUUUGGUAAAAGUUCUUUGGAAUAGGACAUCAUAGAGGGUGAGAAUCCCGUAUUUGACCUUUACUUUCAACUUUGUGAUACACUUUCAAAGAGUCGGGUUGUUUGGGAAUGCAGUCCAAAAUGGGUGGUAAAUUUCAUCUAAAGCUAAAUAUUGGCGAGAGACCGAUAGCGAACAAGUACCGUGAGGGAAAGAUGAAAAGAACUUUGAAAAGAGAGUUAAACAGUACGUGAAAUUGUCAAAAGGGAAGCGUUUGACACCAGUGUUGUUUUCUCGAAAAUCAAUUAAAAAAAGUUGGAUUUUGUGUUGUAUUGACCUUAACAGCUUUCUUCACUCUUUUCCUGCUUUUUUUAAUGCACUUUUCGUUUAACAAGUCAACAUCAGUUUCUUUUGUUGUAAAAGGGUCAUUGGAAGGUGGCUUUCUUUUCGGAGAAAGUGUUUAUAGCCUUUGGCCUCUGCAAUCGGAGAGACUGAGGUCUGCAGCGCAGACUCUUCGGGGUUAGAUACAUUUGUGCUAAGUUAUAGCUUUUUAUAGACAACUUGUUGACUAUAAUUAGUCUUGUAGCUUACUCGCUUAUGCUAUUUUACCUACGCUUAGGAUGUUGACGCAUGAGAUAUACGC
rnacentral:rRNA from 1 species